CAGUCAACUGUUCAUUUGUCGUCUCCUGUUACCUUCGACCAUCGCCUGUAUGUAACGGAAGACUUAACGUUUUGCCUCCACUAUCCCCAGAUUUAUUGUUAGCUGUUAAUGAUUACAUUGAAGCUAAGCUCUGAAUCAACUUCCCAUCUUUCUAGCUUCCCUUCUUCUUCACCAUUUCAAACACUAUAUAUAUAAGCCUGCAGAAGAAGUCUCCGGACAGCUUUAUGUCUCGCUAUUUCUCUUUCAUAGCAUACUAUACUUUAGAGCGUAGACUAACCUAGCCAAUCCCCCAAAUAGGUAUGUCUGAGUUGAGGUCUGGGAGAUGUAAGGAUUACUUCAUGACCUGUGUCCUCGGUUUAUAGGAAACAAGAAAGUCAAUCUCCACCACUUUCAAACACCAUCUCCGAGAAGUCACCAGAAGUAAUCAUUACUUAAAACUGACCAUAUCACCUGUCUCUAUCCGCUUCACGCCUCAAACCAUCUUCGUCCAGGUCCGUAACAAAAAUAUUGGUUGGAUUGGAUACAUUUCUUAGACAAACAAACGCAAUGCCGUUUGGUACAAUUGUUGGUGAAGUUUUGGGCAUCAAAACCACAUACAACGAAUCAACGAUGAAACCGCAGACAAUUCAAAGGAUUAUGAUUAAUGCAUAUCUCCUCCACUCUGUCCCACAGACUGUGGAUUUCCUUUGCACUGGUUGAUGCUUCACUUCCUGCUUAUUGAUACUACAAAUGGUUGGUGCUUCACUUCUUGCUCGAAGUGCUCAAGAAGACAAGAAUGCUUCAACGUGGAUUCACAUCGUUCACAUGUUAAACUUGCCGUGUUUCAAAAAAAAAAAAAAAAAAACUUGCCAUCAGAAAGCAGUUGGGGUCCUUAGGUACCUUAUCCAGUUCUCAGUCUCUGAUGGAGCUGAAACAACUGUCUUUGUGGCAUUUGAUAGAGAGAUGACAAAGCUAACCAAUGCACGUGCGGUAGACAUUGGCCAACUAAUUGUGUUGGGAAGCCAGAGCUAAUAACCAUCCCACAGUUAGUCAAAGACUUGGUUGGCAUCACUUUCAGUUUUCAGGAGAAGCUUUCACCGUUUAACUCGCCUCCAAGCAUCAGUCCUUAACCAUAUCACGGAUUUGUUACCGCAACCAGCGUUCACUACUACCAAACUUUGCAGAAAAUGCAAGUCUAACCAAGCUAAAUAUGUUCUCUCCUUAUGGUUAUAUAGAUUGUUCUGGUGUUGUAUGGUUCAUGCCGAGGGGGUGAUAAGAACAAUCCGGGAGAUCAUGGAGCUAGGGCUGUUUCAUCUAAGACGUCCAUAUGUGUCCAAAGUUGCCCCUGGUAUGGUACCUCAGCUGGGAUAGGUUCUUGUGGAGAUAUAGAAGGAGCAACAUCCUCAAAAAACUGUCAUGCCUGAUGAAUCUGUGAGUGGUGCCAUUCACAACUAUCGACUCUGCUGAUCUUUCGGAGGAAGGGGGCAACGGCAAGAAGCCACGCAAUGCUUAGCUUUCUAGCUCAGGGAGUUGGGAAACCCAAAUGCUCACAGAAGCUCACAUCCAUAGGAUUUUAGUUUACUUUUGCGCUACAAUAAAUUUGUUUAGGAUUUCGGUGAUAUCUUGAAUCAUGACAUCUCUGUUUUUUAUCUUCUCAUUUUCUUAGCUUUCAUACUACGUGACUUAUUGGGCCCCACUCCUUUUUAAUAAAAUUCCACUUCUCAUG